GUCUCCGUUGGUGAACCAGCGGAGGGACAUU
rnacentral:rRNA from 1 species